UGAGUAACACGUAUCCAACCUGCCGUCUACUCUUGGACAGCCUUCUGAAAGGAAGAUUAAUACAAGAUGGCAUCAUGAGUCCGCAUGUUCACAUGAUUAAAGGUAUUCCGGUAGACGAUGGGGAUGCGUUCCAUUAGAUAGUAGGCGGGGUAACGGCCCACCUAGUCGACGAUCAGUAGCCGGACUGAGAGGUUGAACGGCCACAUUGGGACUGAGAUACGGCCCAGACUCCUACGGGAGGCAGCAUG
rnacentral:rRNA from 1 species